GAUGAACGCUGGCGGCGUGCCUAAUACAUGCAAGUCGAGCGAACGGACGAGAAGCUUGCUUCUCUGAUGUUAGCGGCGGACGGGUGAGUAACACGUGGAUAACCUACCAAUAAGACUGGGAUAACUUCGGGAAACCGGAGCUAAUACCGGAUAAUAUUUUGAACCGCAUGGUUCAAAAGUGAAAGACGGUCUUGCUGUCACUUAUAGAUGGAUCCGCGCUGCAUUAGCUAGUUGGUAAGGUAACGGCUUACCAAGGCAACGAUGCAUAGCCGACCUGAGAGGGUGAUCGGCCACACUGGAACUGAGACACGGUCCAGACUCCUACGGGAGGCAGCAGUAGGGAAUCUUCCGCAAUGGGCGAAAGCCUGACGGAGCAACGCCGCGUGAGUGAUGAAGGUCUUCGGAUCGUAAAACUCUGUUAUUAGGGAAGAACAUAUGUGUAAGUAACUGUGCACAUCUUGACGGUACCUAAUCAGAAAGCCACGGCUAACUACGUG
rnacentral:rRNA from 1 species